rnacentral:rRNA from 1 species
CCUACGGGGGGCAGCAGUGGGGGAUAUUGCACAAUGGGGGGAACCCUGAUGCAGCGACGCCGCGUGGGUGAAGAAGCGCCUCGGCGCGUAAAGCCCUGUCAGCAGGGAAGAAAAUGACGGUACCUGACGAAGAAGCACCGGCUAACUCCGUGCCAGCAGCCGCGGUAAUACGGAGGGGGCAAGCGUUAUCCGGAUUUACUGGGCGUAAAGGGGGCGCAGGCGGGGAUGCAAGCCAGGAGUGAAAUCCCGGGGCCCAACCCCGGGACUGCAUUUGGAACUGUGUGGCUGGAGUGCAGGAGGGGCAGGCGGAAUUCCUGGUGUAGCGGUGAAAUGCGUAGAUAUCAGGAGGAACACCGGUGGCGAAGGCGGCCUGCUGGACUGCAACUGACGUUGAGGCCCGAAAGCGUGGGGAGCAAACAGGAUUAGAUACCCCUGUAGUC